AUUAAAGUGGCAGAAAAUGCAAGGAAUUUAAGCUUCCUUUAUGAAAAUUUCCUUUCCUUUAAUA